rnacentral:rRNA from 1 species
ACGAACGCUGGCGGCGUGCCUAAUACAUGCAAGUAGAACGCUGAAGGCGGAGCUUGCUUCUCUGGAUGAGUUGCGAACGGGUGAGUAACGCGUAGGUAACCUGCCUGGUAGCGGGGGAUAACUAUUGGAAACGAUAGCUAAUACCGCAUAAGAGUAGAUGUUGCAUGACAUUUGCUUAAAAGGUGCAAUUGCAUCACUACCAGAUGGACCUGCGUUGUAUUAGCUAGUUGGUGGGGUAACGGCUCACCAAGGCGACGAUACAUAGCCGACCUGAGAGGGUGGUCGGCCACACUGGGACUGAGACACGGCCCAGACUCCUACGGGAGGCAGCAGUAGGGAAUCUUCGGCAAUGGACGGAAGUCUGACCGAGCAACGCCGCGUGAGUGAAGAAGGUUUUCGGAUCGUAAAGCUCUGUUGUAAGAGAAGAACGAGUGUGAGAGUGGAAAGUUCACACUGUGACGGUAUCUUACCAGAAAGAGACGGCUAACUACGUG